rnacentral:rRNA from 1 species
AUGGCCAAGGGCGGGUGCAAGGCCUUCGCGGCGCUGAUCGCGGCCUCGCCCGACGCGGCGUCCACCUACGACGCGGCCGCGAGCGGCGGCAUGACGGUCUUCUGCCCCUCCGACGACGCCGUGGCGUCCUUCAUGCCCCGGUACAAGAACCUCACCGCCGACGGCAAGGCGUCGCUGCUGCUGUUCCACGCCGUCCCCGUCUACUACUCGCCGGGGAGCCUCAAGUCCAACAACGGCGUCAUGAACACGCUCGCCACCGACGGCUCCGCCCGGAACUACAACUUCACGCUGCAGAACGAGGGCAACGUCGUCACCAUCAAGACGGGCGCCUCCGGGGCCGUCGCGCGGGUCAGGUCCACGCUGCUGGACACGGACCCCGUCGCCGUCUACGCCGUCGACAGGGUGUUCGAGCCCGUCGAGCUGUUCAAGCCCGCGCCGUCCCCGACCCCCGCGCCCGCGCCCUCCCCGGCCGCCGACGCGCCCAAGGCGGGCAAGGGCGGCGCCGCGCGCCACCGCUCGCCCCCAGCCGUCGCGGACGCGCCCGGGCCCGAGGCCGAGGACACCGCCCCGGCGGACCAGAAGAAGGACUCCAAGAAGAGCGCGGCCGCCGGCGCGCCGCGCGCAAGGUGGCUCGCCGCGGCGCUGGCGACCGUGGCCGUGGCUUCCACGCUGGCUUAG